UCCUGCUCAUGGUAACUAAAUAGCCGCAGUACAUUGACUGUGCAAAGGUAGCAUAAUCAGUUGGCCUAUAAUUGAGGUCUGGAAUGAAUGGAGCAUUGGGUGUACACUGUCUUAUUAAGUUAUUAUAAUUUAUUAAAUAAGUGUAAAUACUUAUAGUUAAACAAUAGACGAUAAGACCCUAGAAAUUUUUUACAAAACAAAUCUAUUUUAUUACUAUUUUGCUGGGGCGGCAGAAUAACAUGUGAACUUAUUUUUAUUAUAUGAAGGUAGCAGAAAAAUUAUAAUUACUCUAGGGAUAACAGCAUAAUUAUUAAUAGAUUGUGACCUCGAUGUUGGACUAGGGCUUAUGUUGUUCAGAAGACAAAUAUAUUAGCUCUGUUCGAGCGUUAAUUCCU
rnacentral:rRNA from 1 species